rnacentral:lncRNA from 1 species
UGCUUUAUAAGGCAGCUCUCGUUUGAAAAUCUUGUCUGAAGGCUUUUUAAUUUUUCUCAUCUUGUCCUAUUGAAAAACGACUGAAACAUGAACUAUUUUUCAUCUGAUGAAGUAGAGAACCCAUCACAAUAUUGGUAAGUUUGUGUGAGUGCUUCCUCUGCGAAUGACAGUGAAGCAACUGAUUAUUAAUUAUAUAACUGUACGACCAAUAAUUUCUAUUAUAAUACCAAGCUUGCACACUAAAAACUCGGCUCGCCGUCACACGAUCCCUAUGAAAUUGCUGUGGCACUUAGCGGGGGGGGGGGGGGGGGGGGGGGGGGGGGGGGGGGGGGGGGGGGGGGGGGCGGACAUGCCGACAAUGUUUGGGAAGUCUUGGCAUUCCAUAGUACCACUUGCAUUUUGCACAAUGCGUAUUUUUGUCAUUCCUCGUGUACGGUCUGUCAUCUGCUACCAGCUAUGUUGUACUGCUAUCCCGUGCAUGUGCACGGGUAUCGCUAGUUAUUAUUUUUCUUUUCCUAACAGCUUAUCCCCAUUGUUGAUCACCGAUGUGGAGAACGAAUUAUAUGAAUUACAUCACGAAUGGGAAAAAAUAAACGACUUUCUUGAAGAGAUUCGAAUUUUCAGAGGAGAAAUGAGAGAUACGAUUACCGACUGGGAAGCAUCACUGUCAUGUCCUCUAAUCUUGAAAGACCCGACUUCAAGGACGUUUGCAAUAACGAUGAAGGAAGGUGCUAUUCAGCAGGGCAUAUUGCUGCAAUUGUUGGCAUAACAUAUGUCAGAGCUGUUCCCCAGCUUCCCCAGGCUGUUUUCCAUGCCACAAGAAGCCUGGGACUUCACUUUUCUACCACCGACACUGAUACCUCAAUACACCCCCCCCCCGCCCCCCCGCCCCCCCAUCUUUCAUCAGCAACAGAUUACUUUGGUUACAUGCAAGGAAACUGUGGUUUUGUUUUCCUCUCAACUUUGUAGUGUUCUAAAAAGGGGCCUACAACACCUUUGUAUUGCUGUGCACUACUCUUUUUAUGUGAGGAUAAGUUUGGUUUUCGAUGGAGAGAGUUUUUGCCUCUGGGGUCUCCCUGUCGCCCAUAAUGAUCUGUCAUAGCGGUCUCACCAGUUGAAAAUCAAACCGUCGAUAUUGAUUGGGGAAAUUGGUUACAUUAUUUUUUACCUCCUAAUGUUUGAUUGCAUCUUUGAGUGUCAAUUCAGUGUCAUGUCCUCUUUGUACUGUACCUGAACAUCUGUGUCACGCUGACGUGAGUUUCACAGGUUGGGGGGG